UCCCUGGUGGUCCAGUGGUUAAGAGUCUGCACUUCCAAUGCGGAAGGCCUGGGUUUGAUCCCUGAUCUGGGAA
rnacentral:tRNA from 1 species